rnacentral:rRNA from 1 species
GACGUAGGGUGCAAGCGUUGUCCGGAUUUACUGGGCGUAAAGAGCGCGUAGGCGGUCUUGUAAGUGUGAAGUGAAAUCUCCAGGGCUCAACCCGGAAACUGCUUUGCAUACUGCGUGACUAGAGGGAUGCAGAGGUUUGUGGAAUUCCUGGUGUAGCGGUGAAAUGCGUUGAUAUCAGGAGGAACACCCAUGGCGAAGGCAGCAAACUGGGCAUCAUCUGACGCUGAGGCGCGAAAGCGUGGGUAGCAAACAGG